rnacentral:rRNA from 1 species
AUUGAACGCUGACGGCAUGCUUUACACAUGCAAGUCGAACGGCAGCGCGGGCUUCGGCCUGGCGGCGAGUGGCGAACGGGUGAGUAAUACAUCGGAACGUGCCCAGUAGUGGGGGAUAGCUCGGCGAAAGCCGGAUUAAUACCGCAUACGACCUGAGGGUGAAAGCGGGGGAUCUUCGGACCUCGCGCUAUUGGAGCGGCCGAUGGCAGAUUAGCUAGUUGGUGGGGUAAAGGCCUACCAAGGCGACGAUCUGUAGCUGGUCUGAGAGGACGACCAGCCACACUGGGACUGAGACACGGCCCAGACUCCUACGGGAGGCAGCAGUGGGGAAUUUUGGACAAAGGGCGAAAGCCUGAUCCAGCAAUGCCGCGUGUGUGAUGAAGGCCUUCGGGUUGUAAAGCACUUUUGGCGGGAACGAAAAGGACUGUGCCAAUACCACGGUUCGAUGACGGUACCCGCAGAAUAAGCACCGGCUAACUACGUG